rnacentral:rRNA from 1 species
GCGAACGGGUGAGUAACACGUGGGUGAUCUGCCCUGCACUUUGGGAUAAGCCUGGGAAACUGGGUCUAAUACCGAAUAUGAUCACGCUUCUCAUGGGGUGUGGUGGAAAGCUUUUGCGGUGUGGGAUGGGCCCGCGGCCUAUCAGCUUGUUGGUGGGGUAAUGGCCUACCAAGGCGACGACGGGUAGCCGGCCUGAGAGGGUGUCCGGCCACACUGGGACUGAGAUACGGCCCAGACUCCUACGGGAGGCAGCAGUGGGGAAUAUUGCACAAUGGGCGCAAGCCUGAUGCAGCGACGCCGCGUGAGGGACGACGGCCUUCGGGUUGUAAACCUCUUUCAGCACAGACGAAGCGCAAGUGACGGUAUGUGCAGAAGAAGCACCGGCCAACUACGUGCCAGCAGCCGCGGUAAUACGUAGGGUGCGAGCGUUGUCCGGAAUUACUGGGCGUAAAGAGCUCGUAGGUGGUUUGUCGCGUUGUUCGUGAAAACUCACAACUCAAUUGUGGGCGUGCGGGCGAUACGGGCAGACUGGAGUACUGCAGGGGAGACUGGAAUUCCUGGUGUAGCGGUGGAAUGCGCAGAUAUCAGGAGGAACACCGGUGGCGAAGGCGGGUCUCUGGGCAGUAACUGACGCUGAGGAG